GUGCUAGCGGGUGGUCUGGACUGUUACAGAUGGUAUCAGAGCCGGAGCCCGAAUCGAUGUACCAGCGAGGGCACUAGGCUCCCUUAAGGGGUGGAUUGUAAGGUCCCACAUCGAUUGUGGAGGGGAACGAAGCAUGCCUUAUAAGGGUAUGGAUACCUCUCCCUAACAUGGCAGCUAUGGUAAAUUGCAUAUCAUUUUGAAACCCCGAAUGUUUCUGAUACAUAUCAUUUCUCUCAUUCUUCUCUAUCAUUCACUCAUCACUCAUUAUUUCUUUCUUUUAAUUUUCACUCUAUGUCUCUUUGCUUUCUUAGAAUUCUCUCUAAUAUUCAAGCAUAAACUGAGUUGGUGGAUUUCUACAUACUAUUCUUUCCCUUAUUGCUAAUCAACUUAAAUUAGUGUCGAUUCUAUGAAGUCUGCCGCUAAUCCCAACCUAAUAUAGUGAUUUCACCCUAAAUCAGUUCAGUACCCAAAAUCAGAAAGAAGAGGAACCUGCGACAGAAGAGUGAAAGUGCAAGAACCCUCUGUGCUCAAACACACCGUGUGCCGCUGUGCGUCACUGUAGAGUCGCGUGGCUACCGACCCAACCGCUUCUCACCGUUGUCGACCGUUCCUUCUACUUUACGGUGCGUAAUGAUGGGUAGAAGAAGAAAUCAAUUAACUUGAUGGGAUACUUUCCACAAUCAUCAUCACUUUCGGACAUGAAAUCAAUCUUUGUUGAAAACUCGGAUGAGAAUAAUGAAGAAUCCGCUGUUUGUUCUUAUGAAUCUUGGCUAGAAAAUCAUCCUAAUGCAUUGGAAAACUUUGAAGAAAUAUUGA